rnacentral:rRNA from 1 species
CGAACCGUACAAAACGUUAUUCGGAAUCACUGGGGCUUAAAAGGGUGCGUAGGCGGCGCUGAAAGUAGGGUGUGAAAUCCCUCGGCUCAACCGAGGAACUGCGCUCUAAACUACAGUGCUCGAGGGAGACAGAGGUGAGCGGAACUUAGGGUGGAGCGGUGAAAUGCGUUGAUAUCCUAAGGAACACCCGUGGCGAAAGCGGCUCACUGGGUCUCUUCUGACGCUGAGGCACGAAAGCCAGGGUAGCGAACGGGGAUU